CUUCAUGUCUGCAGAUUCCACAGCCUAAAAUUUAACUAACAAUGGGCUGAAAAUAUUGGGAAAAGAUUGUGAAAAGAUGUAGACUCUUUUCCUGUUAUUAUUCUCUAAGUGAUACAGUCUAACAAUUAUUUGUGUAGCAUUUACAUUGUUUGCUAUGUGUUUAACCAGGAGAUAAUUUGAAGCAUACAGGAGCCCGUGGGCGAUGAAAGAAGGAGGUGAUAGGAAGUAGGUGGUGAAAGAAAGAUUUUCUUAAGAAGAAGAAGAAGAAGAAGAAGAAGAAGAAGAAGAAGAAGAAGAAGAAAAAGAAGUCCAUCGCUGUAGCAAAUUGCCACAAGGCCAGCACUAGAGACACUGAUGGGACAGAUUCAGACAUGGAGCUCCAAGGUCUCUGAUACUUGAA